ensembl:lncRNA
GUUUCUGGGUUUCUGAAGAAGUUACUGGGUUUCUGAAGAAGUUACUGGGUUUCUGAAGAGGUUACUGGGUUUCACUGGGUUUCUGAAGAAGUUACUGGGUUUCACUGGGUUUCUGAAGAGGUUACUGGGUUUCACUGGGUUUCUGAAGAGGUUACUGGGUUUCACUGGAGGUUACUGGCUUUCACUGGGUUUCUGAAGAGGUUACUGGGUUUCUGAAGAAGGGACUGGGUUUCAUUACUGGGUUUCUGAAGAGGUUACUGGGUUUCUGAAGAAGGUACUGGGUUUCAUUACUGGGUUUCUGAAGAGGUUACUGGGUUUCUACAAAGGCUCCUGGGUUUCCAAACACAUUACUGGAUUUCUGAAGAAGUUGCUGGAUUCUCCUUCCGCUUCUUCCUUUUCUUUAUUCUCCUUUUUUCUUCUCCUACCAUUCCUUGUUUUUCCCUCCAUCUUCAUUUCCCUCACCUUUUCCUCAUUCUGCUUUAUCUUCUCAUCCAUUUUCUCCUCCUUUUUAAUCUUCACUUUAGUCUUGCUCUCCUCUUCUCAUCUUUUACUUCAUCCUCCUCUCCUUCUUCACCAUCUUCUCCUUGUUCUUCUUUCCCCUAUUUUUUGUCC